CAGUAGCCGCGGGAAUACGUAGGGUGCAAGCGUUAAUCGGAAUUACUGGGCGUAAAGCGUGCGCAGGCGGUGAGUUAAGUCUGCUGUGAAAUCCCCGGGCUCAACCUGGGAAUGGCAGUGGAUACUGGCUCGCUAGAGUGUGUCAGAGGAUGGUGGAAUUCCCGGUGUAGCGGUGAAAUGCGUAGAGAUCGGGAGGAACAUCAGUGGCGAAGGCGGCCAUCUGGGACAACACUGACGCUGAGGCACGAAAGCGUGGGGAGCAAACAGGACUAGAGACCCGCGUAGUCCCUGUCUCUUAUAC
rnacentral:rRNA from 1 species